AACAAAAAAACAAAACAAACAAAAAUAAAUAAUUUAAAAAUAAGGGUCUCUGAAGACUUCCUGCUACUUUCUGGGUCCAUGCCCCUCCUCUCCGUCCUCCACUUCCCACCGGGCUCUUCAGGCUCCAGCCUAGAUAACACCAGGUUAAAUUUUGAUCUCCCGGGGACUGGGUGUCGGGAGGGAAAGGCGGGGGGAGUGUCAGAGAGGGGAUGGAUUUCUCCCACCACACUUGGGGAGGCCUCCGGAUGGAUAUGUCCUUCCAGCUGAUGGACCUCAGGAUUGGGAGAAAGAUCGGGGACAAGAGACGGGCACAACAGUCACCUGGUUUCUUUUUCUUCCUUUAUUUUUUGAGACUGAGUCUCGCUGUAUCACCUAGGCUAGAGUGCAGUGACACGAUCUUGGCUCACUGCAACCUCCACUUCCCAGGUUCAAAUGAUUCUCCUGCCUCAGCCUUCUGAGUAUCUGGGAUUACAGGCGUGCACUGCCAUACCCGACUAAUUUUUGGAUUUUAGUAGAGAUGGGGUUUUGCCAUGUUGGCCAGGCUGGUCUUGAACUCCUGACCUCAAGUGAUCUGCCCACCUUGGCCUCCCAACGUGUUGGGAUUACAGGUGUGAGCCACCGUGCCCAGCCACAUGGUGUCUUCCGUGACAGCUCCCUCUCUGCUGAAAUAGCAUUUCCCACCCCCACCCAUGGCAUCACUCUUCUGCUGCCAUUUUCAUCAAAGACUGAUGUCACUUGGCAUGUUUUUAGGUUUUUUUCUGGUGGCUUUUAUUUUUUUAAUUUUAGAGAUGAGGUCUCACUAUGUUGCCCAGCCUAGUCUCAAAUUCCUAAGCUCAAGGGAUCCACCUGCCUCUAUCUCCCAAAGUGCUGGGGUUACAGGCAUGCACCACCACGCCUGGACCACAUUGCAUGCAUUUUAUUUAAAUUUUUUUUUUUUUUUUUUAAGACGGAGUCUCAUUCUGUCACCCAGGCUGAAGUGUAGUGGUGCGAUCUUGGCUCACUGCAAUCCCGGGUUCAAGCAAUUCUCCUACCUCAGCCUCCCGAGUAGCUGGGAUUACAGGCGUGAGCCACUGUGCCCGGCCUUUAUUUAAGAUUUGCCUCCUUAACCAUUACACCUGUAAUCCCAGCCCUUUGGGAGGCUGAGGUGGGCAGAUCACCUGAGUUCAGGUGUUCAAGACCAGCCAGGCCAAGAUGGUGAAACCACAUCUCUACUAAAAAUUCCAAAAUUAGCCAGGCGUGGUAGCAGGCACCUGUAGUCCCAGCUAAUCAGAAGGCUGAGGCAGGGGAAUUGCUUGAACCUGGGAGGUGGAGGUUGCAGUGAGCCAAGAUUGCACCACUGCACUCCAGCCUGGGCAGCAGAGUGAGACUGUCUCACAAAAAAAAAAAAAAGAAGUGUCAGGUGCUGGCAGAGACACUGCUUUUCCCUAAUUGACCUGUUUGGUCCUCACAUUAACCAUAUUUUACAGCUACUCUCAUUUACAGAUAAGGAAACUGGGCCAAUGAGGAGGUGAGAAAUCGCUCAAGGCUGCCAGGUACAGUGGCUCAUCCCUGUAAUCCCAGCACUUUGGGAGGCCAAGGGAGGAGGAUUAAUUGAGGCCAGGAGUUUGAGACCAGCCUAGGCAACAUAAUGAGACUCUGUCUCUACAAAAAAUUUAAAAAUUAGUGGGGUGUGGUGAUGCAUGUGUAGUCCCAGCUACUCCGGAGGCUGAGGUGGGAGGAUCGCUUGAUCCCAGGUGUCUGAGACAGUAGUGAGCUACGAUUGCACCACUGCACUACAACCUCGGUGAUGCAAUGAGACGCUGUCUCAAAAAAAAAAAACCACACACACACAAAACAACAAAAAAACAAAUUGUUCAAGGCGAGCCUGGUGUGCCAAGCCCUUGUUCUGGGCACUUGGCUUAUAUUAUCUCCCUUAAUCCUUCCCACCACCCCAAGUGCUAGAUACUGGGAUUAAUUUAGUUGAGCUGUAAUACAUCAAUACUGUGUGAAAUGCUAUGCAACAUCUAAAAGGAAGACAGGUGGAGCUUUUAUUUAUUUUUUAUUUUAUUUAUUUUUUGAGACGCAGUCUCGCUGCAUUACCCAACCUGGAGUGCAGUGGCACAAUCACAGCUCACUGUAGCCUCAACCUCCUGGGUUCAAACAAUCCUCCCACCUCAGCCUCUCAAGUAGCUGGGACUACAGGCUUACACCACCAAGCUUGGCUAAUUUUUUUUUUUUUUUUUUUUAGAGAUGGUGUUUUGCUAAGUUGUCCACACUGAUCUCAAAAUCCUUUUGUUUUUGCUUUGGAAUGGUCUGGAACUCCUGAGCUCAAGUGAUCCUCCCACCUUGGCCUCCCAAAGGCCUGGGAUUACACGUAUGAGCCACCGCACCAAGCCCAUGUUGAGCUUUUAAGGUAUUAAAGAUCCACUAGGUGAAAAAAAAGAGUGAAAGAUACAUAUGCCAUUUAAGGGAAGCACAGGAAAACUCCUAUUUUGUUUAUAUGUGAAUAGAGGCACAUAGAUGCCUAGAAAAGUGUCUGGGAGGGAAUGAAACCAGAUUGGCCACAAAAAUCACCUCUGGAAAAAGGAAAAGAAUGGGGACUUUCACUUUUUGCUUCAUAUGUUUCAUGUACCUUUUUUUUUUUUUUUUUGAGAUGGAGUUUCACUCUUAUUGCCCAGGCUGGGGUGCAGUGCGAGACCCCGUCUCAAACAAACAAAACAAAACAAAAUGAGGACAAUGGGGCUUCCAAUGGCAACUCGAGACGUUAGUUUACUCCAGAGUCAUGGAGACAGUGAAUGGAGUGUGUGUGUGUGUGUGUGCGUGUGCGUGAGUGAGAGAGAGAGGAAGAAGGGAGGGAGGGACGGUUACAGGAGUGUGGGAAAGUCAACAGGAAAAGGAGGGAAGGUUCGCUGUGAACUGACAGUAACUGUGACAUCACAGGCAUGUGCGGAGUCCCCGCCCCCCCAGGCACUGUGCCAAGGCCAGUACCUUCAUGUCAUGAGACCCUCUCAGCAACUCUGUAACCUUGUCCCCACCAGAAUAUUCCUUUCACAGCUGAGAAAACAACAGCACAGAGAGGAUGAAUUAAAAAUUGUCUAACAUGCUGGGCGCAGUGGCUCACGCCUGUAAUCCCAGCACUUUGGGAUGAUGAGGCAGGUGGAUCACAAGGUCAAGAGAUCAAGACCAUCCUGGCUAACACGGUGAAAACCCGUCUCUACUAAAAAUACAAAAAAGUUAGCCGGGCGUGGUGGCGGGCACCUGUAGUCCCAGCUGCUCGGGAGGCUGAGGCAGGAGUUGCUGGGCACUGGACACAAGGAUUUCUAUCAGUGUGCUCUCCUGCACAUCACCCAGGUCUGGAGUGCCAGGAGGAUCAAAAACAUAGAAUCAAAGAUUAGCCACCUUCCAACUCCAAGUUUCCCCCACCCCAUGCCACCGUUCCUGCCUUGUACAAGUGAAGCAAGCAAUCUCUCCUGGUUUCACCCUAGGAGGUGGAAGGUCCCUGGCCCUGGCUCCAUGUGGCACGUGCUCUGGUCCUUCUCCAGCAGCAGGCUUGUCAGACCCUCCCAGUCCUUCAGCUGAGUCCCUGCACAGUCCCACAGGUUGUCUACUAAGUAAGCAGCGUGGUCGUGGAGCUGGGGAAGGAGGUGCAUGGGGAUUUAGUGAUGGCAUGUUAAAAUACCCUAGGAAGUGGUUACUGAUUAAAUAUCGCUCUCCUUCCUACAGUGUACACCCCCAUCCUUCUCCAUUUGUCUUUUUUUUUUUUUUUUUUGGUAGAGACAGGGUCUCAC